UACGGAGGGGGCUAGCGUUGUUCGGAAUUACUGGGCGUAAAGCGCACGUAGGCGGACUGUUUAGUCAGAGGUGAAAUCCCGGGGCUCAACCUCGGAAUAGCCUUUGAUACUGGCAGUCUCGAGUCCGAGAGAGGUGAGUGGAAUUCCGAGUGUAGAGGUGAAAUUCGUAGAUAUUCGGAGGAACACCAGUGGCGAAGGCGGCUCACUGGCUCGGUACUGACGCUGAGGUGCGAAAGCGUGGGGAGCAAACAGG
rnacentral:misc_RNA from 1 species